UCGUUGGGUAGGGGAGCGUUCUGUAAGCCUGUGAAGGUGUGUCGUGAGGCAUGCUGGAGGUAUCAGAAGUGCGAAUGCUGACAUAAGUAACGAUAAAGCGGGUGAAAAGCCCGCUCGCCGGAAGACCAAGGGUUCCUGUCCAACGUUAAUCGGGGCAGGGUGAGUCGACCCCUAAGGCGAGGCCGAAAGGCGUAGUCGAUGGGAAACGGGUUAAUAUUCCCGUACUUGGUGUUACUGCGAAGGGGGGACGGAGAAGGCUAUGUUGGCCGGGCGACGGUUGUCCCGGUUUAAGCGUGUAGGUGUGUGUUCCAGGUAAAUCCGGUUCACUUUAACACUGAGGCGUGACGACGAGGCACUACGGUGCUGAAGCAACAAAUGCCCUGCUUCCAGGAAAAGCCUCUAAGCAUCAGGUAACAUCAAAUCGUACCCCAAACCGACACAGGUGGUCAGGUAGAGAAUACCAAGGCGCUUGAGAGAACUCGGGUGAAGGAACUAGGCAAAAUGGUGCCGUAACUUCGGGAGAAGGCACGCUGACACGUAGGUGAAGUGAUUUACUCAUGGAGCUGAAGUCAGUCGAAGAUACCAGCUGGCUGCAACUGUUUAUUAAAAACACAGCACUGUGCAAACACGAAAGUGGACGUAUACGGUGUGACGCCUGCCCGGUGCCGGAAGGUUAAUUGAUGGGGUCAGCGCAAGCGAAGCUCCUGAUCGAAGCCCCGGUAAACGGCGGCCGUAACUAUAACGGUCCUAAGGUAGCGAAAUUCCUUGUCGGGUAAGUUCCGACCUGCACGAAUGGCGUAAUGAUGGCCAGGCUGUCUCCACCCGAGACUCAGUGAAAUUGAACUCGCUGUGAAGAUGCAGUGUACCCGCGGCAAGACGGAAAGACCCCGUGAACCUUUACUAUAGCUUGACACUGAACAUUGAGCCUUGAUGUGUAGGAUAGGUGGGAGGCUUUGAAGCGUGGACGCCAGUCUGCAUGGAGCCGACCUUGAAAUACCACCCUUUAAUGUUUGAUGUUCUAACGUGGACCCGUGAUCCGGGUUGCGGACAGUGUCUGGUGGGUAGUUUGACUGGGGCGGUCUCCUCCUAAAGAGUAACGGAGGAGCACGAAGGUUGGCUAAUCCUGGUCGGACAUCAGGAGGUUAGUGCAAUGGCAUAAGCCAGCUUGACUGCGAGCGUGACGGCGCGAGCAGGUGCGAAAGCAGGUCAUAGUGAUCCGGUGGUUCUGAAUGGAAGGGCCAUCGCUCAACGGAUAAAAGGUACUCCGGGGAUAACAGGCUGAUACCGCCCAAGAGUUCAUAUCGACGGCGGUGUUUGGCACCUCGAUGUCGGCUCAUCACAUCCUGGGGCUGAAGUAGGUCCCAAGGGUAUGGCUGUUCGCCAUUUAAAGUGGUACGCGAGCUGGGUUUAGAACGUCGUGAGACAGUUCGGUCCCUAUCUGCCGUGGGCGCUGGAGAACUGAGGGGGGCUGCUCCUAGUACGAGAGGACCGGAGUGGACGCAUCACUGGUGUUCGGGUUGUCAUGCCAAUGGCACUGCCCGGUAGCUAAAUGCGGAAGAGAUAAGUGCUGAAAGCAUCUAAGCACGAAACUUGCCCCGAGAUGAGUUCU
rnacentral:rRNA from 1 species